rnacentral:rRNA from 1 species
AACAUGCAAGUCGAACGGUAACAGGAGAAAGCUUGCUUUCUUGCUGACGAGUGGCGGACGGGUGAGUAAUGCUUGGGAAUCUGGCUUAUGGAGGGGGAUAACUACGGGAAACUGUAGCUAAUACCGCGUAAUAUCUUCGGAUUAAAGGGUGGGACUUUCGGGCCACCUGCCAUAAGAUGAGCCCAAGUGGGAUUAGGUAGUUGGUGGGGUAAAGGCCUACCAAGCCGACGAUCUCUAGCUGGUCUGAGAGGAUGACCAGCCACACUGGAACUGAGACACGGUCCAGACUCCUACGGGAGGCAGCAGUGGGGAAUAUUGCACAAUGGGGGGAACCCUGAUGCAGCCAUGCCGCGUGAAUGAAGAAGGCCUUCGGGUUGUAAAGUUCUUUCGGUGAUGAGGAAGGUGUUUGUUUUAAUAGAACAAGCAAUUGACGUUAGUCACAGAAGAAGCACCGGCUAACUCCGUGCCAGCAGCCGCGGUAAUACGGAGGGUGCGAGCGUUAAUCGGAAUGACUGGGCGUAAAGGGCACGCAGGCGGUGACUUAAGUGAGAUGUGAAAGCCCCGAGCUUAACUUGGGAAUUGCAUUUCAUACUGGGUCGCUAGAGUAUUUUAGGGAGGGGUAGAAUUCCACGUGUAGCGGUGAAAUGCGUAGAGAUGUGGAGGAAUACCGAAGGCGAAGGCAGCCCCUUGGGAAUAUACUGACGCUCAUGUGCGAAAGCGUGGGGAGCAAACAGGAUUAGAUACCCUGGUAGUCCACGCUGUAAACGCUGUCGAUUUGGGGAUUGGGCUUAGAGCUUGGUGCCCGUAGCU